AACGAUGAAGCUGGAGCUUGCUCCGGUGGAUUAGUGGCGAACGGGUGAGUAACACGUGAGAAAUCUGCCCCUGACUCUGGGAUAACUGCGGGAAACUGUAGCUAAUACCGGAUACUUUCCCUGGUGGGCAUCCACUGGGGAAGAAAGAAUUUCGGUCAGGGAGGAUCUCGCGGCCUAUCAGCUAGUUGGUGAGGUAACGGCUCACCAAGGCGACGACGGGUAACCGGCCUGAGAGGGUGACCGGUCACACUGGGACUGAGACACGGCCCAGACUCCUACGGGAGGCAGCAGUGGGGAAUAUUGCACAAUGGGCGCAAGCCUGAUGCAGCAACGCCGCGUGAGGGAUGAAGGCCUUCGGGUUGUAAACCUCUUUUAGCAGGGAAGAAGCGAAAGUGACGGUACCUGCAGAAAAAGCACCGGCUAACUACGUGCCAGCAGCCGCGGUAAUACGUAGGGUGCAAGCGUUGUCCGGAAUUAUUGGGCGUAAAGAGCUCGUAGGCGGUUUGUCACGUCUGCUGUGAAAAUCCAAGGCUCAACCUUGGACUUGCAGUGGGUACGGGCAGGCUAGAGUGCGGUAGGGGAGAUGGGAAUUCCUGGUGUAGCGGUGGAAUGCGCAGAUAUCAGGAGGAACACC
rnacentral:rRNA from 1 species